CUACGGGCCGCUCCAGUGGGGAAUAUUGGACAAUGGGGGAAACCCUGAUCCAGCAAUGCCCCGUGUGUGAAGAAGGCCUGCGGGUUGUAAAGCACUUUCGGUUGGGAGGACUGCUUCUAGCACUAAUAUUGUUGGAAGUUGACGUUACCUUCAGAAGAAGCACCGGCUAACUCCGUGCCAGCAGCCGCGGUAACACGGAGGGUGCAAGCGUUAAUCGGAAUUACUGGGCGUAAAGCGCGCGUAGGCGGCUAGAUCAGUCGGGUUUGAAAGCCCCGGGCUUAACCUGGGAACUGCAUCCGAUACUGUCUAGCUUGAGUACAGGAGAGGAGAGUGGAAUUCCACAUGUAGCGGUGAAAUGCGUAGAUAUGUGGAGGAACACCAAUGGCGAAGGCAGCUCUCUGGCCUGAUACUGACGCUGAGGUGCGAAAGCGUGGGGAGCAAACAGGAUUAGAUACCCUCGUAGUC
rnacentral:rRNA from 1 species